rnacentral:lncRNA from 1 species
AUGGUGCGGAAGCUUAAAUUCCAUGUGCAGAACCUGCUGAAGCAGGUGGACUUCCUGAAUUGGGAGGUCACUGAUCACAACCUGCAUGAGCUGUGCAUACAGUGGCAUUACCAGUUGAAGCAGUGGGAGGACAACAGGUGCUACAAUCAGCUGAGCCAUACCGUGUGUAAGAGAGCAUGGCAUGCCUGUAAGACCUGCCUGAGCGUGACCCAUUCUGCAUGUGUGUUUCAGCUGCACUGCUAGACAAGCUGUAUGCUCUCAGCCUGGUGCCUACACGUGGCUCAGUCAAGCUCUGUCACUUAAUUAUGGCCUCAUUCUUCUGCCACCACCACCUGUCUACUAUGCUACUCAAGCUGCACAUCAUGAAGCACCUUCAGGCUGCUGUGGCCUUUGUGGAGCAAGGCCAUAUGUGCAUGGGCCCUGACAUGGUUACCCACCCUACCUUCCUUGUCAUGUGCAGAAUGGAGGACUUUGUAACAUGGGUCAACUCAUCUAGGAUCAAGCAGAAUGUGCUGGAGUACAACCAGGAGCACAAUAACUUUGAUCUGGAAGUCUAC